UAGAAGCUAUUCUUUCCUAGAGUGGAUUAUUUGGUGAAUAUCAAACAGAAACAGAAAGUCCUGGGAUUAUAGGUUAACUUCAUAGUCCAUCUAAGUGUCUUCUAACAACCUUCUUCCUCCAGCAGAUAUUUACAAAGCAUGUCGAUCUUCUAGAUGUUAGUACUUUAAGGAAAUAAACUUCACUCAAGAGCUUAUGUUCAAGCAUUAAAGAAAGAAGCAAGAAAACCGGAAUACAUAUGUACAAACAUACAUGUAUGCAUGCAUAAAUACAUACAUGACUCGCAUUGUAAUGAUAGAGGAUUAGAGAAUGAGACAUGGCAGCAGCAACUACACUGGGCCAUAAAGAAGGUUGUGUUAGUAUGGUUUUUGGUUUUUUUGGGGGGG
rnacentral:lncRNA from 1 species